rnacentral:tRNA from 1 species
GGAGGAGUGGCUGAGUGGUCGAAAGCGCUCGACUCGAAAUCGAGUGGGCGGUGACCCCGCCCCGUGAGUUCAAAUCUCACCUCCUCCGUCA